rnacentral:rRNA from 1 species
AUUGAACGCUGGCGGCAGGCCUAACACAUGCAAGUCGAGCGGAGCGGCGGACGGGUGAGUAAUGCCUAGGAAUCUGCCUGGUAGUGGGGGAUAACGUCCGGAAACGGGCGCUAAUACCGCAUACUAUCAGAUGAGCCUAGGUCGGAUUAGCUAGUUGGUGGGGUAAAGGCCUACCAGGGCGACGAUCGGUAACGGGUCUGAGAGGAUGAUCAGUCAAACGGGAACGGAGACACGGUCCAGACUCCUCCGGGAGGAAGCAGUGGGGAAUAUUGGACAAGGGGCGAAAGCCUGAUCCAGCCAUGCCGCGUGUGUGAAGAAGGUCUUCGGAUUUUAAAGCACGUUAAGUUGGGAGGCGUUACCAAAAUAAUAAGCACCGGCUAACUUCGUGCCAGCAGCCGCGGUAAUUC